rnacentral:tRNA from 1 species
AUGACUCAGUGGUAGAGUACCUGCCUAGUAUGCAUGAGGCCCUGGGUUAUAUCCCUAGU